rnacentral:rRNA from 1 species
AAUAUUUGACAAUGGGCGAAAGCCUGAUCCAGCCAUGCCGCGUGUGUGAAGAAGGUCUUCGGAUUNUAAAGCACUUUAAGUUGGGGNGAAGGGUAGUAAGUUAAUACCUUGCUGUAUUGACGUAACCGACAGAAUAAGCACCGGCUAACUUCGUGCCACCAGCCGCGGUAAUACGAAGGGUGCAAGCGUUAAUCGGAAUUACUGGGCGUAAAGCGCGCGUAGGUGGUUUGUUAAGUUGGAAGUGAAAGCCCCGGGCUUAACCUUGGAAUUGCUUUCAAAACUGAAGCGCUAGAGUACGGUAGAGGGUAGUGGAAUUUCCUGUGUAGCGGUGAAAUGCGUAGAUAUAGGAAGGAACAUCAAUGGCGAAGGCGACUACCUGGACUGAUACUGACACUGAGGUGCGAAAGCGUGGGGAGCAAACAGG